rnacentral:rRNA from 1 species
GGGUUGUGAGGUUAAGCGACUAAGCGUACACGGUGGAUGCCUAGGCAGUCAGAGGCGAUGAAGGGCGUGCUAAUCUGCGAAAAGCGUCGGUAAGCUGAUAUGAAGCGUAAUAACCGACGAUACCCGAAUGGGGAAACCCAGUGCAAUUCGUUGCACUAUUGCAUGGUGAAUACAUAGCCAUGCAAGGCGAACCGGGGGAACUGAAACAUCUAAGUACCCCGAGGAAAAGAAAUCAACCGAGAUUCCCCCAGUAGCGGCGAGCGAACGGGGAAGAGCCCAGAGUCUGAAUCAGUUGGUGUGUUAGUGGAAGCGUCUGGAAAGUCGCACGGUACAGGGUGAUAGUCCCGUACACAAAAACACACUGGCUGUGAACUCGAUGAGUAGGGCGGGACACGUGACAUCCUGUCUGAAUAUGGGGGGACCAUCCUCCAAGGCUAAAUACUCCUGACUGACCGAUAGUGAACCAGUACCGUGAGGGAAAGGCGAAAAGAACCCCGGCGAGGGGAGUGAAAUAGAACCUGAAACCGUGUACGUACAAGCAGUGGGAGCACCUUCGUGGUGUGACUGCGUACCUUUUGUAUAAUGGGUCAGCGACUUAUAUUUUGUAGCAAGGUUAACCGAAUAGGGGAGCCGUAGGGAAACCGAGUCUUAACUGGGCGUCUAGUUGCAAGGUAUAGACCCGAAACCCGGUGAUCUAGCCAUGGGCAGGUUGAAGGUUGGGUAACACUAACUGGAGGACCGAACCGACUAAUGUUGAAAAAUUAGCGGAUGACUUGUGGCUGGGGGUGAAAGGCCAAUCAAACCGGGAGAUAGCUGGUUCUCCCCGAAAGCUAUUUAGGUAGCGCCUCGUGAACUCAUCUUCGGGGGUAGAGCACUGUUUCGGCUAGGGGUCCAUCCCGGAUUACCAAACCGAUGCAAACUCCGAAUACCGAAGAAUGUUAUCACGGGAGACACACGGCGGGUGCUAACGUCCGUCGUGAAGAGGGAAACAACCCAGACCGCCAGCUAAGGUCCCAAAGUCAUGGUUAAGUGGGAAACGAUGUGGGAAGGCAUAGACAGCCAGGAUGUUGGCUUAGAAGCAGCCAUCAUUUAAAGAAAGCGUAAUAGCUCACUGGUCGAGUCGGCCUGCGCGGAAGAUGUAACGGGGCUAAACCAUGCACCGAAGCUGCGGCAGCGACGCUUAGGCGUUGUUGGGUAGGGGAGCGUUCUGUAAGCCGUUGAAGGUGGCCUGUGAGGGCUGCUGGAGGUAUCAGAAGUGCGAAUGCUGACAUAAGUAACGAUAAUGCGGGUGAAAAACCCGCACGCCGGAAGACCAAGGGUUCCUGUCCAACGUUAAUCGGGGCAGGGUGAGUCGACCCCUAAGGCGAGGCUGAAAAGCGUAGUCGAUGGGAAACAGGUUAAUAUUCCUGUACUGGGUGUGACUGCGAAGGGGGGACGGAGAAGGCUAGGCUAGCCGGGCGACGGUUGUCCCGGUUUAAGCAUGUAGGCGGAGCGACUUGGUAAAUCCGGUUGCUUAUCAACGCUGAGGUGUGAUGACGAGCCACUACGGUGGUGAAGUAGUUGAUGCCAAGCUUCCAGGAAAAGCCUCUAAGCAUCAGGUGACAUUCAAUCGUACCCCAAACCGACACAGGUGGUCAGGUAGAGAAUACUCAGGCGCUUGAGAGAACUCGGGUGAAGGAACUAGGCAAAAUGGUGCCGUAACUUCGGGAGAAGGCACGCUGGCAUUAGGUAAAGAGACUUGCUCUCGGCGCCGAAGCCAGUCGCAGAUACCAGCUGGCUGCAACUGUUUAAUAAAAACACAGCACUGUGCAAACACGAAAGUGGACGUAUACGGUGUGACGCCUGCCCGGUGCUGGAAGGUUAAUUGAUGGGGUCAGCCGCAAGGCGAAGCUCUUGAUCGAAGCCCCAGUAAACGGCGGCCGUAACUAUAACGGUCCUAAGGUAGCGAAAUUCCUUGUCGGGUAAGUUCCGACCUGCACGAAUGGCGUAAUGAUGGCCAGGCUGUCUCCACCCGAGACUCAGUGAAAUUGAACUCGCUGUGAAGAUGCAGUGUACCCGCGGCAAGACGGAAAGACCCCGUGAACCUUUACUAUAGCUUGACACUGAAUAUUGAGCCUUGAUGUGUAGGAUAGGUGGGAGGCAUCGAAGCGUGGACGCCAGUCUGCGUGGAGCCAACCUUGAAAUACCACCCUUUAAUGUUUGAUGUUCUAACUCGGCCCCAUAAUCUGGGGUGAGGACAGUGUCUGGUGGGUAGUUUGACUGGGGCGGUCUCCUCCCAAAGAGUAACGGAGGAGCACGAAGGUUAGCUAAUCACGGUCGGACAUCGUGAGGUUAGUGCAAAGGCAUAAGCUAGCUUGACUGCGAGAGUGACGGCUCGAGCAGGU